rnacentral:lncRNA from 1 species
GAAGAAAUGUAUAAAUUCCUGGACACAUAUGUUUCAAAUUCAAAUUGACUUGAAGCAAGCAGAAGUUUUAAAUUAAUUAAAUUUUCCAGGAAAGGGAAGCCUAGCCCUAGGAACAGAGAUUACUCAACUUGUAAUGCAUUCCUCAGGCCUAAGUAUCCACACCUAUAAAGAAUGACUUGGACUUGCAAAGGUAAUAGAGCUACUUAAGAAGAA